rnacentral:rRNA from 1 species
AACGAACGCUGGCGGCAUGCCUAACACAUGCAAGUCGAACGAGACCUUCGGGUCUAGUGGCGCACGGGUGCGUAACGCGUGGGAACCUGCCCUUAGGUUUGGAAUAACUCCCCGAAAGGGGUGCUAAUACCGGAUAAUGUCUUCGGACCAAGGAUUUAUCGCCUUUGGAUGGGCCCGCGUUGGAUUAGCUAGUUGGUAGGGUAAAAGCCUACCAAGGCGACGAUCCAUAGCUGGUCUGAGAGGAUGAUCAGCCACGCUGGGACUGAGACACGGCCCAGACUCCUACGGGAGGCACGAGUGGGGGAUAUUGGACAGUGGGCGAAAGACUGAUCCAGCAAGGCCGCGUGAGUGAUGAAGGCCUUAGGGUUGUAAAGCUCUUUUAACCGGGAUGGUAAUGACAGUACCGGAAGAAUAAGCUCCGGCUAACUCCGUG